GAUGAACGCUGGCGGCGUGCCUAAUACAUGCAAGUCGAGCGAACAGACGAGGAGUUUGCUCCUCUGACGUUAGCGGCGGACGGGUGAGUAACACGUGGAUAACCUACCUAUCAGACUGGGAUAACUUCGGGAAACCGGAGCUUAUACCGGAUAAUAUAUUGAACCGCAUGGUUCAAUAGUGAAGUUCGGUUUUGCUGUCACUUAUAGCUUGAUCCGCGCCGCAUUAGCUAGUUGGUAAGGUAACGGCUUACCAAGGCGACGAUGCGUAGCCGACCUGAGAGGGUGAUCGGCCACACGGGAGCUGAGACACGGUCCAGACUCCUACGGGAGGCAGCAGUAGGGAAUCUGCCGCAAUGGGCGAAAGCCUGACAGAGCAACGCCGCGUGAGUGAUGAAGGUCUUCGGAUCGUAAAACUCUGUUAUUAGGGAAGAACAAAUGUGUAAGUACCUAUGCACGUCUUGACGGUACCUGAUCAAAAAGCCACGGCUAACUACGUG
rnacentral:rRNA from 1 species